CGGCUGCGGAGGCUGGCGCGGGCUGCUGCACCUUUAACGCUUUCUGGCGCUGACAGGCGGCGGCCCAGCUAAAGUUCACAGCGCCCGGGGAGGGCCCGCCUCCGCCUCCCCUCCCGCCCCCGCCUCCCCUCCCCCAGGCCGGCCCCGGCCCCCGGCCCCGGACAGGCCCGCCGCGCGGCCGCUUGAGCUGCGAGCUGAGGAGGCCCGUUGGCUGUUCCCGCAAAGAGUGGGGGGCGCAUUUUCUCUCCUGCCAGCCCGCUCCAUCCUGGUCGUUUAUUCCCGGCCUUCCCUCACCCCCCACCCCCACAGCCUGCUGGGAAACCAGACGACCCAGCGGCCACGGGACGAGUCACCCCAACUCAACCCCAGCAGGACGCUGGAGGGGCCUCCCUUGCCCACCUCUCUUCGCUAGCACUGGCCUCCCGCACCUGGGUCUGCAGUCCCUCCGCCAUCUCACAAGUGUGCAGCCGCUAGGCCUGGGGGAUCCGAAUGACUGGGGCUGGAUAGGAAUGCCUUCGUGUUUCCCAAGACCCCCGGGCCUGCUCCACAAAGUUUGAAGGGUGGGUACACCCCGACCCAGGCAAGUUACUCCCCCAAACCCAUGACUGACUAAUCUGAUAUGACAAAAGCCCAUGAUGGAUUUGGUAUAUGUUAAUUCACAAUGCCCUUUCCUCCAGAAUUUAACUAUAAGUUAAUACACACCGGAAACCAUGCGCAUACACUCUCCUUAAUGGGCUUAGUAAUGUAUUAGUGAGUCCUAACGAUGCAUACAAAUGUGCUCUGCGCUCUGUAGACCCCUCAAGAUUUAUGGGCCUUGAGCUCUCUGAAGCUGUAAACAAGGAGAAAAAAAAAAGAGAAAGCGAAAGCGACUGGGGGGAAGAGACAGAGGCCUGACUCGCCCCUCCAGGUUUUGGAGAGAAGGGAUUCUUUAUGUAUUUUCCUUUCCUUGCAAGCUCGGUGCGUGUGGGUUUUGGCGUUGGUCUGGGGGUGGUGUUCUGCCUGAAUGCUGGUGUGCGUGGGCAGUGUGUUGUUUGCGUGCUGGGGUAGGAUGCCUGCCUCUUCGGAUUGCUGUGCAGGGGCCUGAACACAGCAGGCAUUUGUGAGCAUAUAUGCGUGAGUGUGCACUGUGUUAGGGUGUGUGUGUGUAUGUGUGUGUGUGUGUGUGUGUGUGUGAGAGAGAGACAGACAGGGAGAGGCAGGCUUCCCCCUGGGCCAGGCUGCUGUCCCUUGAACGGUGGUGAACAAAUCUCUAACGACAAUCUUAAUAACAAUAAAUAAUGAAUAAUAAUAAUAAAACAGUAGUUAACAGUCCCUGCAUAACAGAAUAACAAUAAAAUGCAAGAGGAAAUAUUUUGAGGUGGAGACAGAAGGAGUCAGGAUCACAGCAUCUGAGGGGGAGAUAGGAAAGGAAGGGAGGAAGAAAGCUUCUUAAUAUGCUCUUGGUGGGGCUGGGGUUGGGAACCCCUUUCCCAGACAAGGGAUGGAAGAGGAGAAGGAGAGCCAGGAGGCCACUCUUUAUUGCUUUUUUUCUCAGGCUUCUGCUUUGUGUGAUCAGGGAAGGGAUCCCACAUAUGGGAAUGGUUAAUGGAUUUUGGGACUCUCUAGGAGCCCCUGUUUUAAGAAGGAGGCCAAAUGUGCAGGCUCAGGCCAAGCAGCAGAGAUGAAUGAGGUGAUGACCACAGCCUUGAUCCGGCAGGAGCUCAGAGAUGCCCGGGAAGACGGGGGGCCCGAAUGGAAGCAGAAAAACACUUAUGGCCGCUGGGAAGUUGGGAGAGCCAGGCUGGGGCUCCGGCAGGCCCAGGGAAAGUUCCCUUUCUAGGCUCUUUAUUAAAAAAUUUAAAAGGAGGAGUUGAGGCGCCUUGAAUUUUCCUUCGCGAGUUUGGAGACCAGCCGAUUUUUCAUGAAGCAAGCAAGGGCCGCGGUCCCGGAUCCUGCAACAUAUACCUCAUUUUCUCCAGGCCUCUCCACUUGCCCGAGCUCUCAGCCACCAGGAGACAGACGGAAGGGGCUUCUGGGCUGUGUUGGGAGCGGGCAUUGUCCCCUACCCACUCCUGCACAGUUUCCCAAAGUCCAGCGACCUCCGACCCUCCUUGGGGAAAAAAAUACCAGUACCCAGACACCUCUGCACCCUGUUAUAUGACUGGGCUUGCUUCAGGAAUAUCUUACAAAGAAGAAGAAGGAGGAGGAACGGCUUGGAGUCAUGUUUACAUCUAGUUCUACUGAUCCGUUCACAUCUGGAGAGUUUAUUUAUAACUCCCUCUAUAACUCUCUGUUUGGAGGCACUGGUGGCUCUACUGACAGACUGAUGUCUAGGAAAUAUUGCUCUAUGUCUAAUGGUACCUAAAUGUGCUGUGGUUGUAUUUACAGAUUUACGUUUGAGGGAAAUAUAAUUAUUUCCAUUGUAUUUGUGCAUAUACAGUAGUUAUAGGAGCAGAUUUAUAUAUGGGAAAAUAUGCGACUCCCUUACAGCCAUCCGGCUUUAUGUACAUUUGAUAUCCUGACAGAUUUAUAUCUCUGAAGAGCUAUAUAGAUUAAAACGUAUAUUGUUAGAAUUAUGUAUCAGGAGAUAUAUACUUAUUGAUUGCGAAAUAGAGUAGUUAGAGCAUUCACUUAGAGCCAUAUAUGGCUAUGGAGAUAUUUCUAUAUUAUUAUCACUAUAUAUAGGCAUAUCUAUUUAUAACUGCAUAGUUAUAAAAAUAGACAUAA
rnacentral:lncRNA from 10 species